GUGGUGUCGGGUUGGCUGCCGGAGCGUAACCAGUUUUAACCCGGUACAAGAGAAGCAGAGGUCUCCCUUGCGCUAAAUCCCCUUCGCGAUCGCUCCAGCCGCCAGCGGUAGUGGGUAGAGCACUUCCCCCGCGAGUCCGCCGUCAGCUACCAAGACCGUCCCGUCGCCACACAGGCGCCCUACUCCCGCAAGGGCGCUCCACCAACGGCUUCCCUCCGUAGGGACGCGGUGACGGUGAUAAGGCAUAGCAAAAGGAGGAGACAAUCAAGGUCCCAAACCGGGAAAAGAAAAGAGGAAGUUAAAGAACACGAAACCAACGAUAAAACCACUGCCGGACCACGACGACAGGCAGCACGGACUACGAGGCCAUCUACCACAGUACAACUUCGUCUCGUUACACUACAACAGGAGCUCGGUACCCCGUCACGGCAGCACCUGUCUGCCCAGUCUACUACUCAUGUCUCAAUGUGCUACAACGAGGAGAAAAAAAAAAGAGCGGCUCCCUGACGAAGGUGGCGGGUCCAACCUGUUGUUAUUACAACCUUAGGCGGCUCGUCCGGCGACGGGGCUGCAACCGGUGGUGACCGACCCCAGCAUCACGGGAGACGAGCCUCCAGUGGGUCCAGCUGCAGGCAUCCACUAAGGAGGAGGUCGUCGUCGGAGGGUAGGACGUGGACUGUCAGUUGCAGCGAUAGAGGUUACUCCCUUAAUCCGUCGUAAGGUACGGAGUGAUGAAAUACUACGAAACACCUACCUUUACUGGACUGCGAUUAAGGUUGGUAAGAAAACAGAGAUAGGAGAGGGAUUGACUGGAGUUCGUUUCGACGAUGACGACGAGGUCCCCGUCUAUUAGCUUGUUUCCCACUCCGCCUGCUCGAUCUCUUCUAAUUCAUAAGGUGUAUAUGUCUACAAUAGAGCCUAAUCUACUCUUAGUAAGUAGAAGUUAAAACGUAUUGUUCUUUGGAUCGAAUAUAAAAAGAUAACGCUGUAAGGUUACAGAGUUCAAGAAAACUGCACCUCGUAGGAUGUUUGUAGUGGUACAGUUCUCAGGCAUACCGUUCACUAUGCACGCCGUAGAUGAAGUGUAUGAAUUUCCACUUAGUAGAGGAAAUAUGUACAGGUGAACUGGGGAAGCUCCUGCCAUAUGAUGAACUGUAAGGAGAGCACACGUAUGUAUCCAUAACGGCCUCGAAGUACCUACUGCUCCUCCUCACGUUCUCGGUUCCUAGUGGAUGUAGUAGGCACUCCCUUCGAACCUUCGCUUCUACCUUCUUCUGCCUCGACGUCGUUUCGAUGUUGGUGGCCUGCAGGCCGGUGGGCGUCUGGUCUGCUGGUUUUCUUGAGGUCGGUUGCUCACGAUGUUUCCGGCCUGCCAGCUGCUGGAGGCCUGCAGGCUGUUCAGGAUCGGUGACCUGCAUGCUGCGGAUGACCUAUAGGUCACGGUGGAUAGGUCUUCGUUUGACAGUCUUCAGGCUGCGGGAGGCCUGCAGGCCUGGUGGCGCUCGCUGGCCUAUAAGCCAUUGGUGGCAUGCAGGCUAGGACGGACACGCGUCGGCCCGGAAACCGGAACAUAUGGAGAGGGUGAAUGGGGAAGCACCGAUUCUGAUAUAUAUGAGGAGGGGGUGGGGAUCGAUCUCAAUCGUUUAUACUAUCGAGUAAACAUACACUCGAAACGAGGAUGGUGAGAUGAGAACUCUCUUUCGCUCUCUCUCUGAUGGUGAGGGUACCUCGAGUUCUGGAGGUACACUCGUACACUCUUCUAGGAUACCCUAAGUUCUGGGGAGUACCCUUCUGGGCAGUGUCUAAGUUCUAGAGGAGAACUUCUACUUGAAGUGUAACAUAGAAAGGGAAACAACAAGUACAUGGAACACCUAGAUACACAAAUAAUCAGAUCACCUACACACUAACCUGAACAAGAACUCACAAAGGAGAGCAAGGGGAGCACAAGAAGCACCCUUAGUAUAGGUU
rnacentral:rRNA from 1 species